AUACCGUAAUUACUCAAAUAAAAACCGGGGCCUUUAUUUACCUGAACUGCAGAAGGUACCAGGCUUUUAUUUGAAGCAGGGCGACAAAGCAGUUUGGGUCAGAAUUAAUCAAACACCACCAUUGUGUCAGUUUGAACCCUGUAAAUGUACCGGGUAUUUAUUUCAAAUACAGGUACUACGGUAUUGCUGGUAGAUUACAAUAAGAGCAUACAGUAGUUUUGUAAAACACAUUGCUGGUUUGCAGCACACCAGUAUCUGAUUAACGUUACAUACGGUAGCUAUUUGUUUCUAGCUCCACGCUAACUUUGUUCCUCCCACCUCCAGCUAGCUAGCUGUGCUCUGCUCUUGUCGGCUAAUCUUGUCAGCUCAUCCUUCUGUUUCUUCCAGUAUCGGAUUCUCCUGGGGUCAAUGUCGAAAUGUCUCGCAGCUUUUUCACCCGAGUUUUCCUCCACAUACUUUAAAACUCUCUUCGUUUUGUUGUUGAAAAGUCCGUCACUAGCACCAGAGCCCGUCAUUCUCUGCUAGCACUAAAUGAGACCCGUGUUACAUCCAAUGUAGCUACUGCCAUCUAUUGGCACCUGUACGUUACUACAAACUACACUUGGCUGAGUAACACAUACAGCCGCAUUGACUAAAAUACUGGUAGGACAAUAAUAC